AUUGAACGCUGGCGGCAGGCUUAACACAUGCAAGUCGAGCGGGGUGAUGGUGCUUGCACUAUCACUUAGCGGCGGACGGGUGAGUAAUGCUUAGGAAUCUGCCUAUUAGUGGGGGACAACAUCUCGAAAGGGAUGCUAAUACCGCAUACGUCCUACGGGAGAAAGCAGGGGAUCACUUGUGACCUUGCGCUAAUCGAUGAGCCUACGUCGGAUUAGCUAGUUGGUGGGGUAAAGGACUACCAAGGCGACGAUCUGUAGCGGGUCUGAGAGGAUGAUCCGCCACACUGGGACUGAGACACGGCCCAGACUCCUACGGGAGGCAGCAGUGGGGAAUAUUGGACAAUGGGGGGAACCCUGAUCCAGCCAUGCCGCGUGUGUGAAGAAGGCCUUAUGGUUGUAAAGCACUUUAAGCGAGGAGGAGGCUCUUUUGGUUAAUACCCAAGAUGAGUGGACGUUACUCGCAGAAUAAGCACCGGCUAACUCUGUGCCAGCCGCCGCCGUAA
rnacentral:rRNA from 1 species